AUUGAACGCUGGCGGCAGGCCUAACACAUGCAAGUCGAACGAGUGGCGGACGGGUGAGUAAUGUCUGGGAACCUGCCCAAUGGAGGGGGAUAACUACUGGAAAGGGUAGCUAAUACCGCAUACCAUCGGAUGUGCCCAUAUGGGAUUAGCUAGUGGGUGGGGUAAAGGCUCACCAAGGCGACGCUCCCUAGCUGGUCUGAGAGGAUGACCAGCAACACUGGAACUGAGACACGGUCCAGACUCCUACGGGAGGCAGCAGUGGGGAAUAUUGCACAAUGGGGGCAAGCCUGAUGCAGCCAUGCCGCGUGUAUGAAGAAGGCCUUCGGGUUGUAAAGUACUUUCAGCGGGGAGGCGUUACUCGCAGAAGAAGCACCGGCUAACUCCGUGCCAGCAGCCGCGGUAAUUC
rnacentral:rRNA from 1 species